rnacentral:rRNA from 1 species
GGAGAAAAGCAGGGGAUCGUAAGACCUUGCGUUAAUGGAGCGGCCGAUAUCUGAUUAGCUAGUUGGUGAGGUAAAGGCUCACCAAGGCGACGAUCAGUAGCUGGUUUGAGAGAACGACCAGCCACACUGGAACUGAGACACGGUCCAGACUCCUACGGGAGGCAGCAGUGGGGAAUUUUGGACAAUGGGGGCAACCCUGAUCCAGCCAUUCCGCGUGAGUGAAGAAGGCCUUCGGGUUGUAAAGCUCUUUCGCAAGGGAAGAAAACUUAUGAUCGAAUAAAUCAUGAGGUUGACGGUACCUUGAUAAGAAGCACCGGCUAACUACGUGCCAGCAGCCGCGGUAAUGCGUAGGGUGCGAGCGUUAAUCGGAAUUACUGGGCGUAAAGCGUGCGCAGGCGGUUUUGUAAGUCGGAUGUGAAAUCCCCGGGCUCAACCUGGGAACUGCGUUUGAAACUACAAAGCUAG